rnacentral:lncRNA from 1 species
UUCUCAGUUAUAUCUGUCCUCCACUCCCACCUUUUUUUUUUUGUUUUUUUAAUCUUCCCCUAUUAAUCCAGAGUUGUCCAUUGACUCAGCCCCAGUUUGA